CCUACGGGAGGCAGCAGUAGGGAAUUUUGCGCAAUGGGGGAAACCCUGACGCAGCAACGCCGCGUGAUUGAUGAAGCCCUUCGGGGUGUAAAGAUCUGUCAGUGGGGACGAAACUUGACGGUCCCCUCAGCUGAUGCAUCUGCCAACUGCGUGUCAGCAGCCGCGGUAAUACGGGGGAGGCGAGCGUUGUCCGGAAUCAAUGGGCGUAAAGAGUUCGUAGGUGGUAAGGUAAGUCUGGUGUUAAAGGCAGAGGCUCCACCUCUGUUCGGCAGUGGAUACUGGCGGGGUUGAAUGCGGUAGAGGUAAAGGGAAGUCCUGGUGUAGCGGUGAAAUGCGUAGAUAUCAGGAAGAA
rnacentral:rRNA from 1 species